GGGGUGUGCUCACAGAAGGGGGACUGAAGAAAUGGCUCAUCUGCUUACAACACAGCUGACAGGAGUCUGGGUUCAUUGUGACAAGGGGCACAAAAUGUAUGACCUUCCUAUGAAUAACUAUCCAACAUGU
ensembl:snoRNA